UCCCUUUGGAGGCAUGGUCCGCCUCGUGGCAUAAGCCUAUGUGCAGUGCCGUGUGCAUGUGAUGGCAGACUGUUGGUGGUCGAAGCCGGAGUGUAUAGGAAGCUUCUGGAGGCAAAGUACGAAAACACAUAGGCAAAGGAGAGUGGUCAUGCUGCUGGACUUGUAGCGCUUUGGAUCCCUAAAGUUCGUUGGGUUCUUUCGAGCUAAUCAUCAGGCGUGAAUUUGAUAUGCUGCAGGGCUGCAAGAGACUAACAGUGUUACACAAAGAUCUGAAGCGUCACUUCCAGGUGGUGGUGGAGAUGGAGUGGUCCCAGUGGUUGGGGCUUGUAGCUAUGGGGAUCCAGCUGGACUGGAGGUUGGGGCAGUGGAAAUUUCAACAACGGUGACAGCUAAUUUUUGGCCCUGAGAGCAACAAUCACUGUUAGUAAAGGAUGCCUGCGGAGGUUCCCUUAACAUCGCAUGCAUCUCUGGUAGAUGAUCUGCUGGGGGAUCAUUUGGUUUUGGAGCAAGUUGAUGAUGAGGAAGCUGAGAUGGUUUUGAUUGGAAGGAUUUUGUCGGAGAAGUGCUUGAGUCUAGCUGAGUAGCUAGCUUUUUGAAGGAAAGCCUCGGCUGGUAUGGGUGAGAUUACUAUAACCCCUCAAAAUAAGGUGUAUAUUUGCUCAGGUUUUACGAUUGGCACUUAGCAGAGAGAGUCCUGAGUUCUGGCUUUGGUCGAUUAGGGGAAAUUGCAUAAACCUGCAGAGAUGGGAUGCUCAGAGGAGACAGUAGAACCUCUAUUUUCAUGAACUGGAGGUGUAGCUGCAAAUACAUGGAUUGGCCUUCGAUCAAAUGAAAGAGGAUAAUGCGAACCCAUUGCUCGUUGGCCGGGCAAACUGGUGACAGUUGAGUCAAUUCACACCAAAUCUCGGGGUCGCUGGGGAUUCCUUUGUGCUAAAAGUCGCAAAUGCUAUAUAUGUACUGUGGAGUACGGCACUAGCUUUGUUACUUCAACAAGUAUUAAACUUUCUGAGUAGUUGGUGAGUGAGAUUGAGAUUGAAAGAGAGAAAGCAGGUACUGAUCAUUGACCAACGAAGAAAAAGUCAAUGAUGCAUUCGCAUCUGUCUUUUGAUGGUGCGAAAGGCCAAUUUUAAGUGCCCGAAUGGAUUGCGGUAUGCUGUGGGAAUGAAUGUGACGUCGCUCCAGCCUUUGUAAUGGGAUUGAGGAGGAUGGUUUGAUAAUGGACUGUGAUCCCAUAAAUUCUCUAUUCUCUAUUACAUUCAAUUUGUAGAUCAGUCUAGCGUCUGACCAUAAUAUUUGACUAAUCAAUGUUCACUCAGUUGGAUCAAA